GCCUGGGUGGCUCAGUCGGUUAAGCGUCUGACUUCGGCUCAGGUCAUGAUCUCACGGUCCGUGAGUUCGAGCCCCGCGUCGGGCU
rfam:Felis catus isolate Cinnamon breed Abyssinian chromosome B3, whole genome shotgun sequence.